AACGCAUAUUGCGCCCAAGGUCUCGGCCGAGGGCAUGUCUGAUCGAGCGUCACCACCAAAAGCGCCUCACUCCCGCCUGUCAUCCGCCCCUCGCGGGUCCUAAAACCCCCGCGAGUUUCGUAUGCCAGUCCGGGUAAACGAGGGAUGUGUCCGUCGCUGUUCGCGCAGCUGUCCGAUGAAAAGGGUUGUGCGCUGGCGACGCUGAACGCGCUGGGGACGUGAUCGGAGAGGUACCGGAAGGGUAAUCUUCUCCUGUUCGUUCACGCCCCAGCGAGUCCAGCUUCGGGAUCGCACGCUCCACCACAAAACUCGGUUGGCCUCGAAUCAGGCAAGACUACCCGCUGAAUUUAA
rnacentral:misc_RNA from 1 species